UACGGAGGGUGCAAGCGUUAUCCGGAUUCACUGGGUUUAAAGGGCGCGUAGGCGGUGUGUCAAGUCAGGCGUGAAAGCCCCGGGCUCAACCUGGGAACCGCGCUUGAGACUGGCACGCUAGAGUUCGGGAGAGGAUGGUGGAAUUCCCAGUGUAGAGGUGAAAUUCGUAGAUAUUGGGAAGAACACCGAUGGCGAAGGCAGCCAUCUGGACCGACACUGACGCUGAGGCGCGAAAGCGUGGGGAGCAAACAGG
rnacentral:rRNA from 1 species